UUCUGGUUGAUCCUGCCGGAGGUCACUGCUAUUGGGAUUCGACUAAGCCAUGCGAGUCGAGAGGGUUCGGCCCUCGGCUGACGGCUCAGUAACACGUGGAUAAUCUACCCUAAGGUGGAGGAUAACCUCGGGAAACUGAGAAUAAUACUCCAUAAGUCUAGGAUACUGGAAUGUACUUAGGCUGAAAACUUCGGUGCCCUAGGAUGAGUCUGCGGACUAUCAGGUUGUAGUCAGGGUAAAGACCUGACUAGCCUACAACGGAUACGGGUUGUGAGAGCAAUAACCCGGAGAUGAUAUCUGAGACACGAUAUCAGGCCCUACGGGGCGCAGCAGGCGCGAAAACUUCACACUGCGCGAAAGCGCGAUGAGGGAAUCCCAAGUGCUUGCACGUAAGUGUAAGCUGUUUCUAUGUCUAAAACGCAUAGAGAGUAAGAGCUGGGUAAGACGGGUGCCAGCCGCCGCGGUAA
rnacentral:rRNA from 1 species